GGUGGUGGCUAGACCCAAGAGGUUAAGAGAGUUAAGCGUGCUAGGACGGGAGUAGUCCUAGGAUGGGUGACCCCCUGGGAAGUUGGGGCGUCACAACUU
rnacentral:rRNA from 1 species